rnacentral:lncRNA from 1 species
GGUGCUUUUAGAACUGAACCUGUGUAUUACAAACUUUACGCUUUAUUACCCCCAACACAAAGAGGUGACAAUACUCCCUUUAUGUCUUAAAUUUAUAGAAGGCACUUAAACAGGAGUGUUUGCUGAAUUGGGGUAAGGAGAGUAUCCUACAAGAAAUAUGCUGUUUCCAUGAAAACAAACAAACAAACAAACAAAAAACCCAAAGCAACUGUAAGAGGAAACCAGUGCAAAUAACUCCUCUAUCAUCUUUAUUUUAGGUCAAGCCAUUUGGAAGCAAGUUCCGGGAUUUUGGAGUAGGACAAAUAGUAUCACCCACUGAGCUGACCAGAGUGGGAAAUGCUAAGCCAUGCUCAGUGCAGCUGGCAGCUUGCCAGCUUUAUUCCCGCGACACCGUCAUCUACCAAGAGCUAAAGCACAGCGUUCAGUGGGCUUCCUGGCACAAAUGGAAACAGUUUGCACAAGGAUAUGUUGAACUUUUUGCUGUGCUAUUCAUGAAGAUCUUUAAUCUGCUCAGGGAGGAUCAACUAGUUAAACGAGUUUGAACAAGUGAAUUGGAAGGGCUACUGAGGAAACAACCCAGUUGGUGAAAUGUUUGCUACAUUAGCGUGAGGAUCUGAGUUCAAAUCUCCAGCAACCAUGUGAAAAGCAGGGUAUUGUGGUAUGGACCUGUGGUCCCAGAGUUGGGAGGGUGGAGACGGGUAGAUCCCUGGGCCUUCCAGGCUCAGUGCAGGUUCCUUGAAAGACCUUGUCUCAAAACAAAGAAGAG